rnacentral:lncRNA from 1 species
GAACCAAUUUAGGCUGCAACAUAUUGCUACCACAAUCACUUCUUUGACAUCAAAUACAUGGAUAAGAAUCUACCAAAAAAAAUAAAAAAAACACAUGGAUAAGAAGAAAUCCAAGGUUCAAAGGAAAUGGAGAAGGAAAUGAAAUUCCAAUAGAGUCUAAAUUAAGAAUAGAUUACUAUUGAACAUGGAUAAUUAUGAUUGAGAG